rnacentral:rRNA from 1 species
AUACGGAGGACGCGAGCGUUAUCCGGAUUCAUUGGGUUUAAAGGGUGCGCAGGCGGCCGUGCAAGUCAGCGGUGAAAGCCCGGGGCUCAACCCCGGAAGUGCCGUUGAUACUGCAUGGCUGGAAUGCGGUCGAGGCGGGCGGAAAGGGGCGGGUAGGGGGGAAAUGCGUAGAUAUGGCACAGAACGCCGAUAGCGGAGGCAGCUCGCCAGGCCUGCAUUGACGCUCGGGCACGAAAGCGUGGGGAUCGAACAGGAUGAGAUACCCUGGUAGUCCACGCCGUAAACGAUGGCCGCUCGUCGUCGGCGGCAGACAGUCGGCGGCCAAGCGAAAGCGAUAAGCGCCCCACCUGGGGAGUACGGUCGCAAGGCUGAAACUUAAAGGAAUUGACGGGG